rnacentral:lncRNA from 13 species
CUGCAGAAAGGAGACUUCAGCGUGCCAUAGGGACCUGCACUUGCCAAAUGAGGAGGGACCAGCACUUCAAAGGCUGGGGAUAGGAUGAAAGAUCUCUGACCCCAUUCUUCCUGGCUUUCCCAAGCCCUGAUGAUCACAGAGAGGACCUUGGGGCUCCACAUACACAAGCAUAGACGUUUGAGCUGGGGCAGGAGUUGUGGGCUGCCCAGGUGGCUGCCACUCAGAUGAGGUCCUUCCUGGGGGCACACUCAGAAUGAGGGAGGCAAGGUGGAGCUGGACACUGCCCCUGGAGAACCACACUCACCUUCUGCAUGGAGACUACCAAUGGAGAGGGGCCACCACUGGGAUGGGCAGAUGCAGCCUUAUCCAGCCCAAGCCAAAGCUGUCCAUCCUACUGGGAGGAGGCCAGUGAAGCAAGACGGUCUCCACCCUUCCCUUCCUGGAAAACCCAAGAAAGGAGGAAGAAGAGUGGCCUCAAAGAUGAAAAGGCCGUUUCUCCUUCCCCACUCCUAGGAGACAGGUUUGACGCAAUGGUGAGAUGGCUGUUUCAUGUCAGACCAGAGAAUGUUUUGAGAAGGGCUGCUUCUCCGUCAAGCAGCCAACCACGCAGGAGUCCUUGUUGAGCUCCUACGGGGUACCGGGCUGCGCAGGGAUUCAGAGACGCCUGAGGAUCUGAUGGACCAUCUGGGGUCAGAGGAGGACAGUUCAGACACUGCUUGGCCCAGGCCUCAUGCCAGAUGUGAGGCUCCCAGCAAAAGCGUCACUCAAGCCUUCUGGAUGCUGCAUUAGCCCCCCUCCACUCAGAGGGAGGGUGGGGAGAGAAACUGGCUGCAAACAGCCUCCCCACGUUGCCUUUCAACAACCCGUUCUCGAGGUGCAAUGGCUUCAGAGUGCUCCAGACUGAUACACAGGCACCCACUCCCCUCAGCAGGGAUCCCUGGGCCUUCGCCUAUCUAACUCCACUCCUUUAUUGAGUACUAGGAUGUGCUGGGCACCGUACUCAGCUCUGGGAGAGUGGAUGAGAUUCACACGCCCUUGUCCCGGAGUGUAGCCUCUAGUGUUGCAGCAAUCUGCUAAUUUAAGGGUAGAGGUUAAUGGGUCACCAAUGCUCCACGGGUUCAGCUCCCGCUAGCUGUGCUUUCUUCCUAUCCUGUCUUCUAGCCUCCCUACCCCUGCCUCUGAGCCCACCUGGGCAGUCCCCACUCCCAUGGCAGUUAGCUCUGGGCACCAGUGCUGCCUUUUCUCCCAGCCCACCCACUUCAGCCCCGUGCAAUGUGGUUGUCACCAUCUGGCUUCAUGAGCUGUGGCUACAGCUGAGUGAUGAUGCCAUGUCUUCUGGGAAAGACUAGGGCAGGGGGUCCAUGGGUACCUUCAGUGCCUGUCCCCAAAGGAUGGUUCCUCAGGGCUUAGUGGAACCGCAGCCACCCCAUAGCAUUCAGGGCAGAAGACAAGAGUCCUUCUCUCUCAUCUUUCUGGAAAGGAUGGCUCCCUGGGGACAAGGCUCUGGGUUGUCACAAACAGGACUGUCAAACCAAGAGCCAUUUAUUCACCGCACAAUUGCCUAAAUGCCCCUGAUUAAAAAAAAAAAAAUCAUUGAUUGUGCACAAUGUGCCAAGCCUGUCA